GGGUUAAUAUACAUAUGAAGAAGUGUGCCAUGCGUUCCAAUCUUACAUGUACAGCUCAGUGACAUUUUUACAAAUUUAACUACUACCCUAUCCAAUACCUAGAACAUUUCCAACACCCUGGGAAGUCUCCUGUGUCCUCUUCCCAGAUAGUACCACCCCUGCCCCCAGAGGUCACGAUUCUUUUGACUUCUAUCACCAUUGGUUAGUUUUGCCUGUUCUUAAAUAUCACAGAAAGGGGAUCUAGUCUUUCACUCAGUCUAGUGUCUGCAAUAUUGAAUCAUACUGUUGUAUGCAUCUGUAUAGACUGUGUAUUCUCAUUGCUGUAUAGCAUCCAUAAUAUGGAUAUACUACAAUUUGUCUAACAUCCUGUUGGUAUUUGGGUUGUUUCCAGUUUGGGGCUGUUGCGAAUAGUCCUGCGAUGAACACUCCCUAGCACAAGUGUUUAAAUUUUUUUUUUUUUGACAUUUAUUUAUUUUUGAGAGACGGAGAGAGGCAGAGUAUGAGCAGGGGAGGGGCAGAGAGAGAGGGAGACACAGAAUCCAAAGCAGGCUCCAGGCUCUGAGCUGUCAACACAGAGCCCGACGUGGGGCCCGAACUCACAAACUGUGAGAUCAUGACCUGAGCUGAAGUCGGAUGCUUAAUCGACUGAGCCACCCAGACACCCCCCCAGCACAAGUGUUUAGGUGUCCACGGGCACUCAUUUCUGUUGGGCAUAUGCCCAGGAGUAGAAUUCCUGGGUCACAGAGUACGCAUGUAUUCAGCUUUCGUGGACACGACUGAACAGUUUUCCUAAGUGGUUGAACCAUACUGCAUUCCCACCGGGAGCCAAGUGGUACAAAUCCACCUCAAGCUAGCUCAGUCAAAAAGCGUACAGGUUCCCACAACCAAACCAUGGGUCGAGGGAGGGUGCCAUUACUUCAGGGUAGAGGAGGCCCUGCCAGGCUCUCUCUCUGUCUCUGGGCCUGCCAACACCUUUCUCUCUGACUCAAGACUGACUUCCUCCAUGUGUCACCCUGGCCUUACACUUCACAGCCCCACUGAUUGGCCCGAGCUGGAUUCUGUAUCAACCCCUGGGGGCCUGUAAUUGGCAGCCCCCGUUGGAUCCACAGGGAUGGAGGAGGGGAAGAGCAGUUCUCCCUAAAGAUAGGCACGGUGUCCCCAGACUGCAAGGGAGCGAUGUGCUGCAGGGACAGCGGGUCAGGUGCUGGAUUCCAUUCCCAGCUCUGCAGCAUCUCCUCCUAGCCAUAUGACCCUGGGCAGUUGCUGCAGACUGAAUGUUAAUGUCCCCCCAGGUAGGCUGAAGCCUAAUCCCCAAUGUGAUCGUAUUUGGAGGUGGGGCUUUGGAGAGGUGAUGAUGUCAUAAGGGCAGAAUCUUCAUGAAUGGGGAUAGUGCCUUAUAAAAGAGACCCAGAGAACUUCCUCACCCCUUCCACCGUGGGAGGACACGGCGAGAAGGCCAUCUGAACCAGGAAGCAGGCUCUCCCCAGAACCCAAAUCAGCUGGUUCUUUGAUCUGGGACUUUCCAGCCUCCAGAACUCCCAUUAAGGACUUUUCCAGCCCCAAUUUUGCCACGCAACGGUUUCUGCAAUGCCUGGAAACAAGGAACGUGUGCUUUGAGAGUCUCCCUUUAAGGCAGUAACAGGCUAACAACAGAGACUUAAGAAAUGCUUCCUAGCAAUCAAAAUGCAUUAUGUCUAAAAGUGUCCCAUCAGAGGGAAACCAGUGCCCGGUCCAUAUCCCCAGAGCAAGACUGUGCUGUCCUGGAGUAGAUGCAAGAAGGAAGCAUCUCGUACACCGAGUGCGGCAGGUGCAAGUGUUUGAGGCUGUCGGUUGCUCUUCCUGACACCUGCAGAGUCCAUCGCUGCAAUUCAGAGCCAGGUGCUUGAAAAACCGGGCCGGGCCUUGCUGAGGACGGGCCGCGUGUUUACGCCCAGAGCACCCACUCUGUGCCAAGCCCUGUGUCACAAGAUUCCAUGUGCUCCAGCAGCAACAAAGAGGAGACCCUAGCGGAUGGAUGAGCCAGCACUUUGAAGAGCUGGGUCCCGAUGCCAACAAUAAGAGGCCCUAGAAGUUGACUGAGGACGCUGGUAGAGUACCUGUUCAGCACCGUCUUACUUGAUGUGUGGCUUCAGGUUGUCCAGAUAUAAAGUGGGGUAAGUACCUCUGCUCUGCCUGCGCCCCAAGGUGAUUGUAAGAAUCCAGAAUGUGAAAGUGUUGUGCAAAUUGCCAAUUCUGGGGAACACGGAGAUGACAGCCCACUUCUCUGUCCGGGAUGCUGCCGGAAGUGUGGUCAGUGGUCACAUGGCCUCCAGCUCUCAGCCCCUGUAGCCGGGCUCGGCUGCAGAUAGCCACCUCGCCCGAGGUUGUGCCCUCCCCAGGGCAGCCUGCAGCCAGGGGACGAGACAGCAGGGGGCACAAAGACCCAGCCAUUUGGGUCCACAAGGGACACUGUUGGGCACUGGUUGGGCCUGUACCAUCAGACCUGCAUCGAGGUCUGUCUCUGCCCCCUACCUCCUCCCCCCCUCUUUCCUCUCACACGUGUUGACCCCUCGUAACACCUUGCACCCCAAACUUCAUCCCCAACUGCUUUCGGGGAACCCUGCCUGCAAAAACUAUGUAAGAAGCUUGUCUUGCUAACACCACUAUCCUCAUUACACAGAGAAGGCAGCCCCUGGGGCCCAAACCACCCACCCCUGAAAAACAGGCCCUUUAACGGCGGCUCAGAUUCCCAGAAAUCCGGAAAUACAGUUCAGCUGGGAGGGAGGCUGUCCAAGUUGAGUUUUGUUAGAGUUGCAGGUGAAGCUACAAUGCGGGAUAGAAGGUGUGUGGAGCUACAAAGCUAAUACGCACCUCUUUCCAGAAGGCCCUACUCAGGGAGCCUGGGCAGUGAGUGUGUCCCACGGCAAUGGCCAGUCCUCGGUCCCUGGGCAAACCCCCACCUCUGCUGCUGUCAGUAGAAUCUUCACAGCUCGCGGCGAAGUGGGGAAAGUUGGACAGAGCGCUGGAUCUUAGGGGAGAGAUCAUGCUGGUCAUAAUUGUCUGCGGUUAGUAUGACUACACCAUGCUGAGAAUAGAGGGUAGCUUGUUAUCUCUUUCGAUCGCUUCACUUGGCCAAAGCGGCUCCACCCGGAAAUCUAGGUCUGAGGGCCACUGACGGGUCCCAAAUCACCUGAGCGGGCUUCCUGUCCUGCUGGCCGAGAGGUCUGACCGCAGGCAAAGACCAGCAGCCUGCUGACCUUGGCCUAGCAGACAAGGUGGGCACCUUGGCCGUGGUUGUGUCCAGGACGGCCAAUGGCUUGCCGAUCAUCCUUCUUGGGGCCUCAGCCCCCUCCAAAAAUUGAGCUGCAGGUGGGGUGACCUCAGGUCCCUUCCUGCCUUUAAGAUGCCCACAGUGAGAUCCUCAGAGGAGAAUUCCAGAAGGAGGGGCCAGUAAGGACCGGCAGGCUGUGGGUGUCUGGCCCUCAGCCCCGUGCUUCAGGUCCCGCCAGAGAAGGAAUGAGGGCCAGGUGGGUCAACGGCACCCCCGCGUGAGCGGUGAGCCCCCAUCAUCACUCCUGGACUAAUUGCCACCCCACCCGCCCGCCAGGUGCCCGCCCGUGUGUCCCCAGCUCUGGGGCUGCUAUUAACGACAUGUUGCAGCAGCUUUACGAAGCGUGGCUCGGAACAAUUUUACACCUCAUUUGAUUUAUGUUCCCGGAUUCGCUCCUCUCUCAGAGACUCCCUCCCUCUGGAGAGACAGCAUGUGUCAUCCGCUCCGGCUCUCCUGCGUUCCCACAGAGCCAGUCUCUGUGUCAGGAAGGGCCGGCCUCAGACCCUAGGUCCUGAGCAAACAAUCCCGUGACCUGGCUCUUCCUCCAGGGCUUUCUUCCAGAUGUGUGUCCCUGAGCCGGGACACCUGUGACUGAGGCCUUCGGAGGUGGGCUUAGCCACGACAGAAUCCCAGAGCAACGAAAGUCCUUGGGGAUUGGUUACCAGCACACCCGCAUCUUACAGAUGGGGAAACUGAGAGGUGGAAAGAGUCCUCGGUGUCUUCAAGACCCUUCUGAAGGUCACAUGGCCAGUCUGUGGCAGACGCCUGCCUCCCCUCUCAGCAGUAAAGAAGGCUGGUCCUCACAGGGAGUCACCAGGUCAGCUGUGAGCCAGCCUUCCCGCCAGUAGGACCUGCUGGACUGGACUCUUUGUCCAGACAGUGUCCUUGACGUAGGCUGAAGAAAUGGACGAGCAACAGGGCCAUCUGGUCCACCUCCCUCAUUGCAGAGGGAAGGCAAGGAGGAUGGGAGAGGAAGAGUGAUUCCCUGCAAAGCACACAGCCAGUAGGAUGCAGGGUGGGCUAGAAUGCUGGCUUCACGACCCUGGGAUCUUAUCCCCUUCUCCCUAAGAGGCAAGAACGUUCCUACAACCACGUCUUCUCAUUCACUCACUUUUGAACCGAUGCCUCUCAGGAACCAGGCUUGGUGUUAAGCUCAGAGGACGCGAGGAUGGACCAGACAGAGAAGCACCCGGCUGUCCCAGCCCAGUGUAGUGAGGCCGCGAGGGAACGUGUGGGCCCCAGCAGUGGACCCCUCCCUCUGCUCAGCGAACUCCUGCCAUGGGGAAUGUUGCUUGCAGGGGAACCCACUGCCCACCACAGAGGCCGGUAACCCGUAAUCCCAGCCGCCCUUGAGAUAUGUGAACAAGGUUUGACCCGUUAGAUAUACCCGUCCCAGGUUAUACUCAAGCUGGUGACAUGAAGACAGAGGGGACAAGGAUAUUCUCUGUGGCCACAGGGCUGGGGCAGCUGCACUAAGAUCGAGUGCCCAGAGGCAGAGGUAAUACUGGUGACAUGGGUGGUGCGGGCCACGUGUCCCCGCAGCCAGUUCUGGCUCUUCGUGAGGGUGAUAGUUCCCACUAGCAGGAUACCCCGACCCACCUGGAGGACAGGGGAGGCUCUCCGUAUUCAUCAGAGAUAACUUCUGAUUUUGGAAACUUUCAAAUCUAUACGAAAGCAGAAUAGCACCAAGAGCCCCCACGUGUCCAUUGCCAAGCUACGAGAUUCACCAACAUUCACCAUUC